GGCCUAACAAGGUAAUCUUUGGGUUGGUGAAUCUGGACAUGAGAAUGAAAAGGGUGAAGAAAUUAUUGUGGUAAUUCCAUGGGAUGAAUGGUGGGAAUUGUCUCUUAAGGAUGAAUCCAAUCCAUAGGUAGUGUUGCUGCCCUUACAUCCAGAUGUGCGUGCUAAAUUUAAUUCGACUGCAGCAUGGGCAUAUGCUCGGAGCAUGGCAGGGAAGCCAUAUGGUUAUCACAACAUGAUUUUUAGUUGGAUUGAUACCAUUGCUGACAACUAUCCACCACCUCUUGAUGCUCACUUGGUCAUUUCUGUCAAGUCUAUGUGGACUAGAGUGCAGCCGACAUAUGUUGCAAAUAUGUGGAAUGAAGCUCUAAAUAAGCGAC